CGCCUUUUGAAAUAUAAAUAUAAAAGGUCCUGCCUGCCCAAUGACUUGCUUUAAUGGCCGCGGUAUUAUGACCGUGCAAAGGUAGCGUAAUCAUUUGUCUUCUAAAUAAAGACCAGUAUGAAUGGCUAAACGAAAGCCUCACUGUCUCUCUAACUCAGUCAAUGAAAUUGAUCUCCCCGUGCAGAAGCGGGAAUAUAAGUAUAAGACGAGAAGACCCUGUGGAGCUUUAAACUUUAGUUUUAGGUUGGGGCGACCAUGAGGUAUAAUAUAACCCUCACGAUACAUAACCAAGAAAGACAUUUCAAAUAUUGACCCAAUUAUUGAUCACGAACUAAGUUACCCCAGGGAUAACAGCGCAAUCCGCUCAAAGAGUCCAUAUCGACGAGCAGGUUUACGACCUCGAUGUUGGAUCAGGACUCCCAAAUAGUGCAACAGCUAUUAAAGGUUCGUUUGUUCAACGAUUAAAGUCCU
rnacentral:rRNA from 1 species